rnacentral:rRNA from 1 species
UACAGAGGGGGCAAGCGUUGUUCGGAAUUACUGGGCGUAAAGGGCGCGUAGGCGGCCUUCUAAGUCGAACGUGAAAUCCCUGGGCUCAACCCAGGAACUGCGUCCGAUACUGACAGGCUCGAAUCCGGGAGAGGGAUGUGGAAUUCCAGGUGUAGCGGUGAAAUGCGUAGAUAUCUGGAGGAACACCGGUGGCGAAGGCGGCAUCCUGGACCGGUAUUGACGCUGAGGCGCGAAAGCCAGGGGAGCAAACGGG